rnacentral:rRNA from 1 species
GUCUACGGGACGCAGCAGUUAGGAAUAUUCGUCAAUGGGGGAAACCCUGAACGAGCAACGCCGCGUGAGUGAUGACGGCCUUCGGGUUGUAAAGCUCUGUCUUCAGGGACGAUAAUGACGGUACCUGAGGAGGAAGCCACGGCUAACUACGUGCCAGCAGCCGCGGUAAUACGUAGGUGGCGAGCGUUGUCCGGAUUUACUGGGCGUAAAGGGAGCGUAGGCGGACUUUUAAGUGAGAUGUGAAAUACUCGGGCUCAACUUGAGUGCUGCAUUUCAAACUGGAAGUCUAGAGUGCAGGAGAGGAG